rnacentral:misc_RNA from 1 species
ACUACUUGUACAGAAGAUAAUGUCUGAUGUGGCAUUAGGUAUGAUCUUCAAAAGAUCAACCAUAAGAAGCUUGAGUGGUAAUGGAGUCUCACUUUUUUAUGACUGCAUAUUCAGUGCAUCAACGUGACACAUUAUUAUGAAAUUAUUUACUAAUUAUUGUGAUCCACUACACUUGAAACGGGCUAUUUUGAAAAAGUUAAUUUACGAUCUGGCAAAAAAUAGUUCCUGGAAAGCCAAUGACCUGCUGUUCAUUCUUCAAUUUCUGCAAUGAAUGCCUUAUUGCUCAAUUGUCUUUAUUUAGGUUUGAAGUAUAAAUAAAUAUGAGCCCAG